ensembl:lncRNA
GUUCCGGAAGGCAGUCUGCGCGGGCGGGGAGCUCGGGCCCGGGCGGCCCUCGCGCGCCAGGCUGCCCGCAGCAGGGGGCUCGCACGCAGCCCUCCUCCGCCACCCUCCGGGCGCAGGGGUGCGGGCUAGGACGAGGUGGGGGGCGGAGGCGCCGAGCGCAAGACGGCGCAGGAGCCGGGCGCGACGUCGCACGCGGGGAGCCAGGUCGAGGCUUCCAUCCUUGGAGUCAGCGCAUCCUCGGAGCCCGGGCCAGUGACCCGCAUAGUAGGGGCUCAGUAAAAAUGGACUAGCUAGUGGAAAGAGAUGGAACAGGCAGCAAUAUGAAGUUCAAAGCCUCGGCUCACACCUGAUUCUCCCAGGGAGGGCUGCCUGAGCCCCAGAACCGAACCCCCCUGCUUAAUGCAGGGGGCGACCACCAUCCACCAUGCUCUGCAGAACCGCAGCCUGGAUGGGGGUCUUCAAAGCACGACUGCCGAUAGAUCAAGCGUCCUCUCCACCAGGACAGCACCCACCCCCCACUCACCUCCCCAAAUAAACCUGCGUAAUGAAGACAGAUGGCCUCGCUCAGCACCGCCGUGUGCAGGUGGGGCCGGGGCGGCCCGAGGCCACUCACCCCACCCUGGAGUGGGGCCUGGGGUGUCACCAGGACGGAGACCAGCCUGCACCCCCUUCAUCACCGCCCCCCGCCGGGGGCAGCAUCCCUAUGUGAUAAGCCGGGUUUCAUCUUUGCAUGCCGCCCUCUACAAAUACCCAGCUCAAAGCCAGUAGCCCCGACUCCCGCCUGUAGGUAUGGUAAAGUCAUUCAUAAGGACAGAAACCUCUGACAGCUCCACUCCCCCAGAGCAGCACAGGGUAAGUUGGCCAGCAGGGAGGAUGGGAGCCCUCCUGGCCGUUAUCUGAGCGACCUCCGGGCAGGCAUCUGCUCCCAGGCUGGGAGGGGGUCUUUGUCGGUGAAAGGAGCGUUUGCAGGGCCGGCCAGCGCCUGGUUUAUGGACCUGGCCAGUGGGAGGGUGCACCCCGCCCAGCCUGCAUCCAGGCCUGAAGUGUUUACCCCUGGGGUGAUUUACAUCACCCAGGUGUUCAUUCGGGAAACAUCUAGGCUCCGAGCUGACACGGUGAUUGCCCUGGAGUUGCAGACUUCGGCAUUCUUCUGUUCAUAACGGUCUGGGGGCCAAAAAGAUUUUUUAAAACAGAAAGUCCUGGCCCAGAGUGGUUCGCGUCCUGGGGUUUUCACACAGGAGGGCCAAGCGACGUCUGAGCCCAGUGCCCCUCGCCCUUCCCCGGGUGGAGGAAAUUACCAUUGCCCAGACUGCGGCCCUCCUCACCCUCCUGCAGACCCCUGUCCUCCGCAGACCGCUCUGGCCUUUCUGUCUGCGGACACACUGCGCCAGGC